AGUGAACCCUGGCGGCAGGCCUAACACAUGCCAGUCGAGCGGCCGCGCGGGGGCAACCCUGGCGGCUAUCGGCGGACGGGUGAGAAAUUCGUCGGAAUCUUCCUCUUUGUGGGGGAUAACGUACGUUAACUUACGCUAAUACCGCAUACGUCCUACGGGAGACAGUGUGGGACCACAAGGCGUCACGCAGACAGAUGAGCCGACGACAGAUUAGCUAGUUGGUGGGGUAAAGGCCCACCAAGGCGACGAUCGGUAGCUGGUCUGUGAGGAUGGUCAGCCACACUAGGACUGAGACACGGCCCAGACUCCUACGGGAGGCAGCAGUGGGGAAUAUUGGACAAUGGGCGCAAGCCUGAUCCAGCCAUGCCGCGUGUGUGAAGAAGGCCUUCGGGUUGUAAAGCACUUUUGUCCGGAAAGAAAUCCCUGGCGCUAAUACCUUCGGGGGAUGACGGUACCGGAAGAAUAAGCACCGGCUAACUUCGUG
rnacentral:rRNA from 1 species